AUGUUUUGUCAGAAGUGGCGCCACAUACACAGGGUCGGGAGUAGGGGGAGAGAAAGAAGAACUCGAAUGGCCUUGUGCCCAUCUUGUAUAAAUCACGGUUAUUUUGAUCAUAGUUUGGUCUCAAAUGCUUUCAUCAAACAGGAUCAACGCCAUCAACCCACCAUGUAUGAUAUUGAUCAGUUAAGCUACAUACAGUGCAUCACAGUAAGCAAUAUUCAAAAUAAGACAGCAUCACCUGCUUCCAGGUAUAGUUUGACACUACAGAGAACUAAAUGCUCUUGUAGGGGGAAAUUCAAUCAGAUUGCAAAGCUUCUAACCUUCAGUCAGAAAAUCUUGAUAAAUUGA
rnacentral:rRNA from 1 species